rnacentral:ribozyme from 1 species
AGUACUUGACCGAAGAGUUAUCCUUUGUUUUCGUCACUGCUCUUUCGGCAGCCGUAGAGGGAGGAGGAGGGCAGGAGGGGGGAGCGGGGGGGACC